UCGAGCGGAACGAGUUAUCUGACCUUCGGGGAACGAUAACGGCGUCGAGCGGCGGACGGGUGAGUAAUGCCUGGGAAAUUGCCCUGAUGUGGGGGAUAACCAUUGGAAACGAUGGCUAAUACCGCAUAAUAGCUUCGGCUCAAAGAGGGGGACCUUCGGGCCUCUCGCGUCAGGAUAUGCCCAGGUGGGAUUAGCUAGUUGGUGAGGUAAUGGCUCACCAAGGCGACGAUCCCUAGCUGGUCUGAGAGGAUGAUCAGCCACACUGGAACUGAGACACGGUCCAGACUCCUACGGGAGGCAGCAGUGGGGAAUAUUGCACAAUGGGCGCAAGCCUGAUGCAGCCAUGCCGCGUGUAUGAAGAAGGCCUUCGGGUUGUAAAGUACUUUCAGCAGUGAGGAAGGCGGNUACGUUAAUAGCGUGCUCGUUUGACGUUAGCUGCAGAAGAAGCACCGGCUAACUCCGUGCCAGCAGCCGCGGUAAUACGGAGGGUGCGAGCGUUAAUCGGAAUUACUGGGCGUAAAGCGCAUGCAGGUGGUUUGUUAAGUCAGAUGUGAAAGCCCGGGGCUCAACCUCGGAAUAGCAUUUGAAACUGGCAGACUAGAGUACUGUAGAGGGGGGUAGAAUUUCAGGUGUAGCGGUGAAAUGCGUAGAGAUCUGAAGGAAUACCGGUGGCGAAGGCGGCCCCCUNNACAGAUACUGACACUCAGAUGCGAAAGCGUGGGGAGCAAACAGGAUUANAUACCCUGGUAGUCCACGCCGUAAACGAUGUC
rnacentral:rRNA from 1 species